CAGCGGAAGUGACGGGCAUUGCCUCUUGGACGCCGUAAAUUCGCCAUUGAACCUCCGCGUAAGACAUACGUAAUACCUGCUAAAGCUCUCCCGUUUGUGUGUUUUUUUUAAACGCAUUCGGUGUUCGGAAGUGACCUACCCGGUGACACAUACCUUGCCCAGGCUGGUGUAGGGUUUUUUUUUACGUUUGGAGGUGAAGAAUAAAUCGAGUCAAGCUGGGGAGAAGCCAGGAAAUGUCCUACUACUCAUCGUCCCGCAGUUCGUCCAGGGCGUCGGACUGUAAGGUGUACGUGGGUGACCUGGGCAAUGGUGCCGCCAAGGGGGAGUUGGAACGGGCGUUCAGCUACUAUGGCCCGCUGAGGACCGUCUGGGUGGCCAGGAACCCGCCAGGGUUUGCUUUUGUGGAGUUUGAGGAUCCAAGAGAUGCUGAAGAUGCUGUUAAAGGCACGGAUGGGAAGCUCUUGUGUGGGUCACGUGUACGAGUGGAGAUGUCAACUGGCAUGUCCAGGAAGGGCCGCGGACGCCCCAGCCGUCGCCAGUUUGACCCAAAUGACCGCUGUUACCAGUGUGGGGACCGCGGUCAUUAUGCCUAUGACUGCUACCGCUUCAGCAAGCGAGGAGGAGGAGGAGGACGCCGCAGCAGGUCCCGAUCCCAUUCUCGAUCACGGUCCAGGUCCAGAUCUCGUGGGCGCCGCUACCGCUCCCGUUCUCACUCUCGCAGCCGUAGCCGCAGCAGGAGCCGCCGCCGCUCCCCAUCAUACUCAAGGCGCAGGAGCAGGUCUGGCUCUCAAGCCCGCUCCAAGUCCAGGACUCCAGUGAGAAGUCGUUCCAGGUCUCGUUCUCGGUCCAGAUCAGCACCAAGACGCUCUGCCUCCCGCUCCCGCUCUCGGUCACAGUCGGCCAAUCACAAGAAGAACAGUGUGUGCUGGGAGCUGCGCACUGCGUUGACACUGCAGCUGAUCCCAGGCCAAGGGUCUGCCAGCUGGCGGUGUGUACAUCCUGCGGGAGGGUGACUAGGCGCUGAACUGAGAUCAGCCUUCGCCUGGCGUUAGACAGCGAGAAUCUCCCCCCGCGCAGUGAAUGGGUGACCGUCUGUCCAACCGACGCACAUGCUCAGACGAGAUCAGCCCGUGCACACUUACAGUUGUUCUCCUAGAGUCACCCAGGCCGUCAGCCAGCCAGCCGGCAGAUCUACCAGAGCGUCGGCAUGAACGGUUCAGAGUUCGACCAUUUAAAAUCCAUUACCUACCUACCAGACCCCCUACCUACCAGAGCUCUGCGGCCUCUGACUUAGCUUCUGAAAAUGAGAGUGAGCUGACCUGAGAUCAGUCUUCAAGAGCGUAGUCAUCCGUCCUUCAGUGCUUUCAACCUUCGCUUCUCUGUACUUGUUUUUUCUGCCAGUGUCUCCAAAGUUGUUCCCGCUCAGCAACACCACCACCACCACCACGAAGUCCAUCGCCAGCCGCCAACUGAGUGACAAACAAGACACCCCUCAAUCCCAACCCCUGUUCUCUUUUACAGCAGCGCUCCCAAGUUUUCCAUGUGUGGUUAUGCUUCAUUUCUUUCGGAGAUAAAGUGCAGCUUCAGAACUGCUUUUUGAUUGGCGGAAGGUUUUAGGACAUCCUUCACAUGUAGUUUGUAUGAGAGGCAACGCCUACAUCUGCAUGGUGCUGUAUGUUGCAGUGGACUUUUAAUAGUGACAUUCGAACACUUUUUUUGCUCCUGUGCGCUCAUUAAGCACCCAAUUCCUUAAAUAUGUAUAUUUCUGUCCUGCACUGCUCCCAUCCAUUUUUUUCUUCUCUCGAAGUUUGUGUGCUUAAAAAGAUGUUCUCGGCCCUUCAGGUUAUUCCUGUGUAUUAUUUGAAAUUGUUUUUUGGUGAUUCAGCUAGAAUUUGGAUGGGCUCCUGCUUGUACUGUUUGAGACGCUGGCAUUUUUAUUUUUCAAUAAAUCUUCCCAACAUG